rnacentral:lncRNA from 1 species
UAACCCUGCAGAGAUUCGAAUGCCCUUUAGAGAUUACGAAUCAUUUUUACUUAUCUCAGUCUUAAAAACCCUCCAAGGCAGGUAUCAGUAUUCUUACUUUAUAUAGGAGGAUGUUAAAGCUCACUCAUAGUUAGCAAAGACAGGACUAGCAUCUAAGGCUUUCACCCAAGCCCAAUGUUUUCUGGAUGUAGAAUUUAGCACUCAUCUCUUACACAAUUCUUUCACCUGGCAGAAGUCUGAAGCUGGGACAAGUAAAUUUUGGUUGGUGCCCUAAGAAGAGCCACAUCUGGAUUGUGGAAUAAGGACAAGAAGGAAGGGCCAAGCAAGAAGACCAAAGAGCCUGUCUCUGCAGAGCUGGGAAGCGGGGCAGCUGCCUGAUCCUGAUGUGGAGCCAAGAGACCGCACUACACGCUUGUGGGAAAGACCUUGAGCUGGGAUCUGGAGCCCCAGGUUUCAGGCCAACUGGGCUACUGAGUCGCCUAGAGCACAUCACGCUUGUCAGGGCAUCAUUUUCUCUCUGUAUGAAAAGGAUUUGGGGGAUCUGACAUCUAAGAUACUCUCAGGCUCUAACAAGCUUGAGUCAUCUUUGGGGGUCAGUAGGUCUGCGUGUGCUUCCAUGUGACAAUGAGAGCUAAAUAAACGUCAGCUCCUUCCAGCCUCAUCAACAUCAUCAUCUCGGCUGUGACUCAGAUCAUCCACACAUGAUGAGUAAACAGUGCCCUUUGCACUGUGCUGCAUGAAGCCGAGCGUGGGGGCGGUGGUCACAGUCGAGGCUGCCUGCCUGCCUCCCUGGGUUGCAGAUUUAUGGCAUGGCAGUCCUUGUCGAAAAGACAUCUGGAGGGCCUGGCUCUACCUAUUUUUCUCCUACCCAGCUCAGAGGUACUUUUGCCCAGUCACUCCUCAAAUAAUCCAAGCUCCUCACACUGCUGUUUCCAAGUUUUGAAACACAUUAUGGCAGGCCACCAGUUCCAUUUUAUUAGCAAAUAGAUGAGUCACAGGGCCAUUUCCUUUGGAUUUUUAAGUAAGAUUUCCACUUCUACCUCACUGUCUUGUCUGGCCUGAUGUUUACAAAGAGAGAGGUUGCUACUUUCAAAUACAUGUGAUUUUUAGUCAAAUAAAUCCUAACUGCUUGAGCUGCACCACCUCCAACACUGUUCCUUGCCCAUUUCCUGAUGUCAUGCAUUUGCCCUUCCUCUGUGUCUGUGGGUAUGCCAGAGAAGUAGGAGUUCCCCCAUUAGAUACUUAUUUUAGAAUAUCUGCCAUCUGGAUGGGAUGAAGACAAUGUGGCGUAUUGCCACAAUGGAAUACUAUUCAGUCAUCAAAGAGAACAAAA